CCAGCAGCCGCGGUAACUCCAGCUCCAAUAGCGUAUAUUAAAGUUGCUGCAGUUAAAAAGCUCGUAGUUGGAUCUCGGUAUCACUGUUGCUCGUCAGUCCUUAGGCGGCAGACUGCGUGUGCAUGGGUUUGAUUCGUGUUGCCGUGGUUGGUCGUCCGAGUUGGCGGUGUGACGGUGUCGCCUUUCAGCCAUGUCUGUGGUGAAAUACCCGCAGGUGUAGGCGAGUGUUAGGCGGUGCCUUACGAAGGUAGGGCUCGUCGGCUCGUCUGCAUGCCUUUGGAUGCCCUUUAAAAGGUGUCUGUGGGCGGAUGGCACGUUUACUUUGAACAAAUUUGAGUGCUCAAACCAGGCCGAUGUUGCCUGAAAAGUUUUGCAUGGAAUAAUGGAAUAGGACUUCGGUUCUAUUUCGUUGGUUUUCGGAUCCGAAGUAAUGAUCAAAAGAGACAGGCGGGGG
rnacentral:rRNA from 1 species